rnacentral:rRNA from 1 species
AACGAACGCUGGCGGCAGGCUUAACACAUGCAAGUCGAGCGCCCCGCAAGGGGCGCGGCAGACGGGUGAGUAACGCGUGGGAACGUACCUUUUGGUUCGGAACAACUCCGGGAAACUGGAGCUAAUACCGGAUAAGCCCUAACGGGGAAAGAUUUAUCGCCGAAAGAUCGGCCCGCGUCUGAUUAGCUAGUUGGUGAGGUAACGGCUCACCAAGGCGACGAUCAGUAGCUGGUCUGAGAGGAUGAUCAGCCACACUGGGACUGAGACACGGCCCAGACUCCUACGGGAGGCAGCAGUGGGGAAUAUUGGACAAUGGGCGCAAGCCUGAUCCAGCCAUGCCGCGUGAGUGAUGAAGGCCUUAGGGUUGUAAAGCUCUUUUGUCCGGGAAGAUAAUGACUGUACCGGAAGAAUAAGCCCCGGCUAACUUCGUG